rnacentral:rRNA from 1 species
UACGGAGGAUCCAAGCGUUAUCCGGAUUUAUUGGGUUUAAAGGGUGCGUAGGCGGCUUAUUAAGUCAGGGGUGAAAGACGGUAGCUUAACUAUCGCAGUGCCUUUGAUACUGAUGAGCUUGAAUGAACUAGAGGUAGGCGGAAUGUGACAAGUAGCGGUGAAAUGCAUAGAUAUGUCACAGAACACCAAUUGCGAAGGCAGCUUACUAUGGUUUUUAUUGACACUGAGGCACGAAAAGCGUGGGGGAGUCAAACAGG